GCUAGAACUGCUCAUGUGCAGACUGUCAGGAAAGAGAGAGAGGACCCCACAAUGGAAACUGCUGCAGUGGGUACCAAGCCUUCAGGAGCGCAGAUGCCUGGAACUUACCAACCUGCCUGGGUGUCCUGAGGGCUGAGUUCAGAUGUGUGUCACCACCCUCAGCUCUCACAGAUACCUGCAGUGAUCUUUUUACCAUGUGAACGCAUGCUCUGAGAGUUGUACCAGUACUGAGAACAAAGGAC
rnacentral:lncRNA from 1 species